rnacentral:rRNA from 1 species
CGUGAGGAACCUGCCUUGGAGUGGGGAAUAACAGCUAGAAAUAGCUGCUAAUACCGCAUAAAGCAGUUGGGUCGCAUGACUCUGACUGCCAAAGAUUUAUCGCUCUGAGAUGGCCUCGCGUCUGAUUAGAUAGUUGGCGGGGUAACGGCCCACCAAGUCGACGAUCAGUAGCCGGACUGAGAGGUUGGCCGGCCACAUUGGGACUGAGACACGGCCCAGACUCCUACGGGAGGCAGCAG